GCUUCUGUAGCUCAGUCGGUGGUAGCGUCCCUCUCAUAAGGGGAAGGUCGUGAGUUCGAGCCUCACCAGGAGCA
rnacentral:tRNA from 1 species